rnacentral:misc_RNA from 1 species
GAUGAAGAACGUAGCAAAAUGCGAUAAGUAAUGUGAAUUGCAGAAUUCAGUGAAUCAUCGAAUCUUUGAACGCACAUUGCGCCCGCCAGUAUUCUGGCGGGCAUGCCUGUUCGAGCGUCAUUUCAACCCUCAAGCACAGCUUGGUGUUGGGACUCGCGUUAAUUCGCGUUCCUCAAAUUGAUUGGCGGUCACGUCGAGCUUCCAUAGCGUAGUAGUAAAACCCUCGUUACUGGUAAUCGUCGCGGCCACGCCGUUAAACCCCAACUUCUGAAUGUUGACCUCGGAUCAGGUAGGAAUACCCGCUGAACUUAAGCAUAUCAAAAGGGAGGA